rnacentral:rRNA from 1 species
AUUGAACGCUGGCGGCAGGCCUAACACAUGCAAGUCGAACGAGUGGCGGACGGGUGAGUAAUGUCUGGGAAACUGCCUGAUGGAGGGGGAUAACUCCUGGAAACGGUAGCUAAUACCGCAUACCAUCGGAUGUGCCCAGAUGGGAUUAGCUAGUAGGUGGGGUAAAGGCUAACCUAGGCGACGAUACCUAGCUGGUCUGAUAGGAGGACCAUCCACAAUGGAACUGCGACACGGGACAGACGCCUACGUGAGGGAGCAGUGGGGAAUAGUGGACAAUGGGCGAAAGCAUGAGGCAGACAUGCCGCGUGUAUGAAGAAGGCCGUCGGGUUGUAAAGUACUGUCAGCGGGGAGGCGUUACCCGCAGAAGAAGCACCGGCUAACUCCGUGCCAGCAGCCGCGGUAAUAC